rnacentral:lncRNA from 1 species
UUGUGUCGUGUGUGCUGUUGUUUGUUUGUCUUUUUCAUUUUUAGCCAUGGCGUUGUCAGUUUGUUUUAGAUUUAUGAGUUUGACUGUCCCUUGGUAUCUUUCGUCCCUCUUUUUGUAUUAAUAAAAGAGGCAACAUUAACCUCAGAAUUGUUAAGUGUAACUGCUGUCGGCAAACAGAAUUUCAUUUUACAAAUUCCAUGAAAUUUGUUAAGGGAAUGUAUAUAAAAAGAUCUUAAUUAUUUCAGUGAUUUUGAAAAAUCC